UACGUAGGGUGCGAGCGUUGUCCGGAUUUAUUGGGCGUAAAGGGCUCGUAGGCGGCGUGUCGCGUCGGGAGUGAAAGACCCGGGGCUUAACCCCGGUUCUGCUUCCGGUACGGGCAUGCUGGAGUGUGGCAGGGGAGACUGGAAUUCCUGGUGUAGCGGUGGAAUGCGCAGAGUAUCAGGAGGAACACCGGUGGCGAAGGCGGGUCUCUGGGCCAUUACUGACGCUGGAGGAGCGAAAGCGUGGGGAGCGAACAGG
rnacentral:rRNA from 1 species